GCGCUCAGACAGGAUAGCCUGGGCUGCCACUAUGUAUACCCAAUAAAGCUUGACUUUCUCUUAUUGAAUGUCUCAUCUAACCCAACUUGGAAUCUCUUUCUUGAGUUGUUUGCUUCCCAACUAGGUCUAUGGGUUUCUCAAAUAGAUAUUAUUAACUUUUAUAUGGUCAGUUUAUCUAGAGUUAAUAUUUCAAUGGAUAUUACUCCACAUACGGGAAUUAGCUUUUCUGCCAAUGAAGCUACUGGAAUAAACAAUUCAUUAUCCAUGCACAAAAUUCAACUGGAUCCUGUUUUAGUUGGCGACUACCAACUUUUGAACUUGACAUGGUUUAAAGCCCCAUUAUCCUCUCUUCCUUUUAUAUGGCUGAGAUCCCUGUAACAUUAUCUUCUUAAAGAAACCUUCGUUCUUCCUUUUAUACGGCUGAGAUCCCUAUAACAAUGUAACUUGAGUAUCAUGUUGUGAGGUAUACAAAUUUGUGGUUUAUGCUUUUCUUUAUCGAAUCAUCGAUUUGCUAUUCCUAAUCUUGCGGGAACUUGGCAACAUGCUGCCGAAGAAAUGAAUUGGACAUUUAUAAUUAGAGUUGGCAAGCUUAGCUUAAUCACUUUCCUUUUCAUCCAUUAUGUAUAUAAAAGCAAUGUAAUGGAAACUGAAAGUAGUGGCAAACUUAUAAACUGUAUGACUUGGAACUCGAUGAGCAAUAAAUCAUGUGAUAUACUGGUGCUAAAAUAGUAUUUUUGGUUCAAUCUGUUUAUAUAUUUUGUUAAUUUGGCUUUAAGGUGAUGUUAUAAUUCCAGACCAGUUUGUGUUGCUAGUCACCAAAAAGAAAAGAAAGAAACCGCCACCACUCCCAAAGAGAAAUAAAGAAUGUAACUAUAUUUUUUUCUUCAAUACAGCUCCUCUAUCUGCUGCGUCUCCAACAGAAGAACCUACACACCUUUCAACAACUCCAGCAGCACUUGUCAAUUCAAACAAAACAAACCGCACAAGUUUAGUUCUUAUAAUUGGUAUUGGAGCCACUAUCCUCAUUGUUGCGGUCGUAUCCGUCUUUGUAAUUUGUUCAUGCACAACACGUCAAAGGAAGGAAAACAAGCCUUUUAAAGAAAUAGGUUUGUAAGUCAUUGCAUUUCUUUCCCUUUUGAGUUGUUGGGGUUGUGUUGAACAGGCUAAAUAAAUUCUAAGAUGGAUAUUUCCUUAUAAACAUGGUUCAUAUGUCUUUUAUCAAAUUUCACCUUCUCAUCUAUUAAUUUUUUCAAAUAGCAAAGCAAAGACGGUAGAUACAGUUCCAGCGGGUGGAUCUCUUUGCCAUAUAACCAGUACAAGGUUUCUCACCUUUGAAGAACUAAAAGUGUUGAAGAUACCGAAAGAUUAUUGGAGAUUUGAUGGAUUAUUUAUUUCCUUAUAUGUCAAUUUAUUAUAGUUAACAUAAUAUUCUUUCCUUAGUUGUAGAUACAGGAUAUAUUUACUAUUUUGGUAUGUAUUCUACUCCUAUAUACGAAUUGUACACGGCUGGAAUAAAGACAUAGCAGUUUUCUCUCUUUUAUGGUCUCUCCAUUCUACUCCUUGCCCGGUUUCAUGGUUUAGAGCCUAGGUUCUUGAGUAGGUAGGAUGGAAAAAUUGACCAUGACAGGUGCACGCAGAGAUGAUGAAUCGAGGUCCACUACAGCCAUCUUUGAACCCAUCUCUACAAGUGCACCCAUGACCUCAAAUUACCUUCCCAUGGCUGAAAAUACUUCCCUUCAUCUCACCAUCACCCAACCAAACAACAAGAACUAUUUGCAAUGGUCUCGAACUGCUCUCAUGGUGAUUCGUGGCCGUGGACGCUUUGGAUACGUGACUGAAACUAAACCAAAACCGAAUGAAGAUGAUCCUGCAUAUGCAACCUGGGAUGCUCAGAAUUCCAUGGUUAUGGCUUGGAUAGUCAAUUCAAUGGAAGAGGAUAUUAGGGGAUCUUAUCCGUAUUAUUCAACGGCAAAGGAACUCUGGGAUGCCAUUGCAGUAGCUUUUUCAGACUCGGAAAAUUCUGCCCAACUGUUUGAGCUCCGAAACAGAGCUCGAAAUGUUCGCCUAAGGAGAAUCGGAUGUCACACAGUAUUACAAUUCCUUGCAACGGCUAUGGAGAGAGAUCGACAUCUUCGUGCAAAUUAACUGGGAUACACCUAAGGAUGUUGAACAGUACAAGAAGCAGGCGGAGAAUGAGAGAAUAUAUGAUUCUCUGACCGGAUUGGUCCCUGAAUUAGAUGAAGUUCGUGGAAGACUACUGGGUAUGAAGCCAACCCCUGCAAUUAAAGAAAUCUUUGCAGAAGUGCACAGGGAGUCCAGUCGAAAACGUGUAAUGCUUGGAGACUCCAAGCAAUCUUUGGUGGAAACCUCUGCCCUUGCUGCUCGUGGACAAGAACCAUCACGGGUAGCCAAAAAAAUAACACUUGGUGCGAACACUAUAAGAGAUCCAACCAUUCAACCGACCGGUGCUAGGUUCUUCAUGGCCGACCUCUCAACCGAAACCAAUGGACCCGAAGUGAUGUGAGACCAAAUCUGGUUUACUGCAAGGAGACUGAGAUGCAUAACUCGUUCGGUCUGCAGAGUUCGGCCGAAUCACCGGUCACAACCCACUCGUCGGCUGCAACCCAAUCAGCGAACAUCUCUGUCUCUCUCUUACCAAAGACCAGCUUGAGAAAAUAUAUAGACUUCUCAAUCCUUCAGUCUCAACAUCCAGUUUAGUGGCAGAAAGAGGUAAUUAUAUGUCUACUGUAGCGGGCAAAGGUAACGUUAAGCACUAGGUUAUCAAUUCAGGGGCCAUUGACCGCAUGACGGGAUGUGUUAAAUUAUUUAACUCUUACUCACCGUGUCUACAUUUGAAAGUAAAGAUAGCCGAUGGGUUACUUUCUUCAAUUGCUGGAAUCAGAACAAUUAAACUUCCUCCAUAUGUUGAAUUAAAAUCUGUUUUGCAUGUUCUGAAUUUAUCUUGCAGCCUUCUGUCUAUCAGCAAAUUAACUAAAGAUUUGCAUUGCAGUAUCAAUUUUACUGAGUCAAUUUGUAUUUUUCAGGACCUGACUUCGGGGAAGAAGAUUGACAUUGCUAAGGAAUGUGGGGACUAUACUAUUUUCAAGAAGACGCUUACUGGAAUAAAUAAGUGCACACUGCAAGUUGCGAGUCUAUCUCUCGAGAACGGAAAAUAAUGUUGUGGCAUCGUCGUUUAGGUCACUUGAAAUUUUCAUUUCUCAAACAUUUAUUUAC
rnacentral:lncRNA from 1 species